rnacentral:rRNA from 1 species
UACGAAGGGGGCAAGCGUUGUUCGGAAUUAUUGGGCGUAAAGGGCGCGUAGGCGGACUUGUAAGUCGAUUGUGAAAUCCCUGGGCUUAACCCGGGAACUGCAGUCGAAACUGCAAGUCUUGAAUGCUCGAGAGGAUGGUAGAAUUCCUGGUGUAGAGGUGAAAUUCGUAGAUAUCAGGAGGAAUACCGGAGGCGAAAGCGGCCAUCUGGCGAGACAUUGACGCUGAGGCGCGAAAGCGUGGGGAUCAAACAGG